ensembl:lncRNA
GAGCAAAUGAAUGAGUCUGUGCCAAGAAGUCUUUCAUCUGGUCCAGCCUAAUUCCUGCUCAUCCAAUGUACUCCUCCCCCAUUGCUCGGCCCUGUCUUCCAGUAAAUGGACCUUCAGCUCCUCCCUCCCGGGUCACUGGCUGACUACCUACAACACCUUCUAGGAGACACAGGUUCGAUCCCUGGGUCAAGAAGAUCCCCUGCAGGAGGAAAUGGCAGCCCAUUCCAGUACUCUUGCCUGGAAAACCCUGUGAACAGAGGAGCCUGGCUGGUGGCAAAGGAGUUGGACAUGACUGAGUGACUAAAACAACAACAGCAACAGAUCUGGCAAACAUAAUGAGAGAAUGAACGUGGAUUGCUUCCCCCCUCCGCUCCCCAGACCAGGCCAUUUCAGGUUCACCCUCUGGGAACCACGAAGCAUCGCUGGGGGGAAAGGAGAAGCAUGAAGUAACGAGAUGGAAUGAAACCAAGGAGGAGAUCUACCAAUUAUCAGACGUAACAUGGUGAUGGGAAGGUCACUCAGUGUGGGAAAAAAAUAGGGCCCAUUAGGGACAAGUUGGAACUAGAUCCAUCUCAGAACCAAAGGCCUUCUCAGAAGGUGUUCUGGGGGCUUAUACUGAGAAGCAGGACGGGGUGAUGGAGGGGCUGGCCAUGUGGCCUGCCUCCAGCCCUACUGGGCAGCUUCAAGUGCGGUGCAGGUAGAUUCAUUCACUGAUGGAUGUAUUUCUUGGGAAGGUUAGCAGAUUUAUAGCAACUGAUUACACAAUCAUAGCUGGUCUGGGCAGAUUUCAGUGUAGUUACCAGAAUCCUAUACUCCUACUUCACAUAGCAAACAUUUUCCACCUUCUUAAUGAGAAGUGCUAAUGUUUAUUGAAAAUCAAGUGUUUUUCUGAACUCUUCAUAUCUAUUACCUGAAUCUGCACAAAAGCCCUACAGAGUGUGUGACACAGUUGCCCUUUCCAUUUUACAGAAAAGGAAACUGAGGCAUGAUGAGCUUAAGUAACUUUCCCAAAGACUUUCAAUGUAUGCAAGAGCCAGGAUUUGAACAUAAGUAGCUUUACUCCAAAUGACCUGUUGGCUUCCUGCAUCAUUUUGGCACAAAGCACUACACAAGGCAUCUUGAGGCAUAGUUCUUUCUUAAAGGACUUUACAGUCUUGGGGAGAGAGACAAGGACACUGCCUUCUGACUUAAGCAAAGUUUGUCAUUCGGAAAGCAUCAGUUUCUUUUGGGAACUACUGGUAACUUCUUCCAGCUAAAGGGAAUGUGGGGAAUUAUAAGUCCCCUCUCCCACAACCUCAAAAAUGUUGGACUGAACCCCACCAGACAAACAGGCACGUACUGACAAGCAAGUGCAAAAAAGGAGUUCUACUUACUCAGUGAGCAUUGGGCAUGAAAGGCUGGCACUGGGGCGAACACGGUGAUGUUCUUAGAGAGCACUGGAUAGUCUGGGUCAGAUCAGGAAACAGGGUCCCCCAUGCAGGGAAGGACAGAGGACCAAGGGGCUGAUGGCAGGUCUACAUCUGCCACUUUCUUAUGUCUUGUUUAUAAAAGGACAGGGGCUGAGAGGAACCUGUACAAUAUGCCUAACCGAUCACUAGUCUUGAC